CAGAGUGUAGCUCAAAUGUAGAGCAUUAGCUUUGGGAGCUAAAGGUUGCGUGGUCGAACACGUCACUCUGA